AUUGUGAUCCAAAUUCCAAGAAGAGGCUAACUUCUGAUGAGCGGAGCGAGGCCCGUCGCCGGUAGGCUUGGGCCGAGCGAAGCGAGUCUGAAGUUAGCCCACACCGAGGCCCAGCAGGUGCACCUGGGGGGUGCGGGGGGCGAAGCUCCCCGCGGUACGGAUCGUUGCCACCGUCUAUAUAUUUUCCCUGUAAGCCGCCGCUAGGGUUUUGUCGCAUCAUUGUACACCCACGGCGUUUGUAAACACCACCGAAAUAGUGAAGUUUUGCUGGCUGGCGCCCGUGGUAUUUCCCUUGUGUGUUGCAAGGGUUUUCCACGUUAAAAUCUCGUGUCCCCUGCAGUGUUUUACUUUUCGUUCUUCGUUUACUGUGCAUCUCGAUUAUAACACUCUCAAUCUCUCAAUCAUUCUCUCCCGGCGAUCCCCGCAACGGAGGGAAGUGGCAGAGGCGGCUGUGUUCUUUAUCAACCUGGAUCAACACGGCCAGGCCGGCAAGGGGAGGAGCGGCGGCGUUCUUUAUCAACUUGGAUCAACAUGGCCGGGCCGGCGAGGGGAGGAGCGGCGGUGGCGUUGGUCAUGGCCGGCGAGGAGAGGAGCGGCGGUGGCGUUGGGUGGCUGUCGCCCGUCGGAGCUAGGCGAGAAAGGAGCAGGCGGCGGCGGCUCAACUUCACAUCCCGGAUUUAAUGUUGAGCGUAUCUGGGAGAUACAAGCUCAUGAAACUGUAGAGUUAUGGACAAUAAAUUGUUCUCACGUUUCAGGCGAAGGCAGUGCGUCCUUUUGUUGGAUGUAAGAUUCACUUCAUACUUUGUCUUGAACUUCAAUUACUGAAGCUUUGUGCCAUUUUCUUGUUUGGCAGUGGUGGCCAUUUGUUUGAUUACUCAAGUGCGGUUGUGGCAUUUCCAUUGUUAGGAUAAAUGGAAUUCUGGUGCUAGGAUAAAUGGACUGGUUGGUUUCCUGUAAGAUGGAUAUUUUGCAGCCACAAGCCAGAGAAAAAGGUGGUAAAUGUUGGCACAAAAUGAAGGUCAUGUGAUUGCUAAGGUGAUUCUGUUUUCCUGUUAAGUUAAGUUAUCUAGGAGUUUUUUUUUUUGUUGUGUUGUCUCCAAAUUUUGCAUUUGGGGAUCACAGUUUUGCAUGUCACAAUGUUUAAUCCUCCGCAGUUGAUCUACCGACCUGACGCAGAAGUAAUUCUUGGGGUUCAUUAUUGUUUCUUUAAUGUAUUGGAUUUGUAAGUAGCAAGAUGAACAAUGCUCAUGACUGGGUAAUAUAAAACAAGAUACCAUUCGAAGGCAGCUAAUCGACCUUUGAGGGGGAGCUUUUCUUGUUUAGCACAUUGUUUCCGAGGCGGUAGUGGUGAUUUGUUGGCGAAGAAGAGUGCGUCAUCGUCACGAAACACCUGCUGGGUGAAUGGCGCUUGCCGGCGGCGUGAAUUGGGAUGAUAGGCACACCGCAAUCGAGUAGUGUUUUUACCUGCAUUAUUUUUCUGUUGAUCUUAAUACUAUCUAUGCUUUUUUGCCAAGAUCCGUCCGAACCACACGAAGAUUCGUGGAGUGUUGUUGCCCCUUCAGGCGACCUGAUGUUGGGCCGAGAGCCUUGGACGAAGAUAGGUCAUCGCCAUGAACGAGUCAACAUGUGUCUUUGCUAGAGUGGGCGGACCGUGUUCUUAGUGACAUCUACUUCACUUUUUUACUUAUCAAAAGGAUUGAACGAUUAAAAGCCUUUUAUCUAUGUUGAUAAAUUUAUUCUCUUAUAAAUUUUCGUGUUUAUUCGGUACAUUUGUAACAAACCAUGGUGUUCAAAAUAUUUGUACCUCGUGAUGUGUCUGCAGAA